GUCUUGGUUAGAAUGCACUGGAACAGUAUAAAGAGAAGCUAAUUCAGACCAAGCAGCACACUUCUGCCGAAAGGACUUCAAUAUUCAGAACUUUGGACUAGGCAACAAGCUUUCUACUACAAGGAAAGGAUUUCAAAAUGUUGCUGUCGAAUUCUCUCUGAGCUGAUCUAUCUAGUUUAGAUUUCGUAGACUGACGCCUGCACCAACAAUGUCUUCAAAAGAGUAAAUUCAGCCAAGAGAUUCUUCGGCGGGGGUCCACAACACAAGUGCAACUGACUGACUAAUUUUCUUAUUAUCGGCUUAAAUGUGAG
rnacentral:lncRNA from 1 species